CUCCUUCCUUUCAUUCAGUUGGCCAGCCGGUCGACGCCACCCCUCAAUGCUGCAGCAAUCACCGCGCUUACUGAUCGUUGGCGGCCAGAGACACACAGUUUCCAUCUUCGGACCGGGGAUAUGACCGUGACGCUCUAGGAUAUUGCUAUGAUCAUCGGUCUUCCUAUCGAGGGUAAUCCUCUAUGUAUGAGCAUCGAUUCUGAUGGGUGGCGCGAGCAUAUGCAUGCCCUUAUCGGUAUGGCUCCUCCGGAGCCUCGGCAAUCAGAAGCAGAAGACAAGCCGAAGGGAGAGUCGCAGCCGGUGCUCCUUUCACCUGGAUUGCAUGGAACUUUGCUAAUUACCCCGAGGAGGCUAAUGAGGAUGAGGUCAAGAUGUAUGCUCUUGUCUACAUAUGGUACGUUAUAUCCAGGACUAUGUUUGCUGAUGGAACAUGCAAGAAUGCUCCAUGAAUGUGGCUGA
rnacentral:rRNA from 1 species